UGUCUUUCAUCCACCUUUGUGCCUUUCCCAACAUAUAGUGGAGUGCAUACAUGCAAAAUCACCACAAAAUGGUUCACUUUGGUAUGCAAGUAUGGAAAUUGGCACAGAUGUUCAUUAGAAUGCACCCCAUCAGCUAAUGGCGUUUACCACCCAAAAUCCAAGCCAUUUUUCAAGAGGGCCACCCUCUGCACUUGUAAACAAGGCCAAGAAUAGUUUAAUUAAUGAUGCAAUCGUGCAAUUAGUUUGAAAUGAAAUGAAAUGUUUCUUUGUAUGCACUCAGGCAAAAACUCAGUGCAGUGGAAUGCCCGGAGGUCCUGGUCAACAAAAGAAAAGGGAAGUGACCGAACCUGAAGAAGUCAAACUACUGUCCGGAUUCUCCACAAGGGCAAAAUGCUGGAGUGAUGGAGGGGCAUUUAGAUGGAGGUAAUGAAGAAAGACCCAGACAACACAACAGUGGAUGAAGUGAUGUCUGCUACUUUCUCGCUUCGCCGUAAAGAAACAGUUGGGGAUCAACCCAUGGUUGCCGACAGCAUGGAGAGAUGGCCGGCCAUGUUUUCUGAACGACAGGCCCAUGGUGACACACUUGGAGAAGCAACGAAAGACAUCCACCUUGGAAUUCUGAUUAGCUACGAAGUCAACCAGGAGGGAGCCUUUCCAGCAGCUUGUUUCGGAAGUUGUGGACUCGAGCUGAGGCGUUGUCUGGUUGUAUUUUCACUACCACACGUUGCAGAAACGAAUACGUACUUCAUGGCGCUCGGACACUGCAGGUUAACCGCAUAUAUUAUGCCUAACAGCAAGGCCACACCGUUGCCAUAUCGUUUAAAAUUGUGUAGCACAACGAUUUCCUCCACAACAACUGCCACAUGGAAGACAUCUGCUGGAGGUUGGAGCUGUAGACCUGGUAUGUUAGUCAAGUCUAGGCACUGUGUGUGCAUGUGCAUAUACAGAGGCGCGCACGCACACACACACUUCAGUUGAGUGUUUCAGGGCCAUUUUGUGUCCCUUUCUAUUCCUUAAACCAGUGUUUCUCAACAGUGGUGCCAUGGCACCCUGGGGUGCCAAACACCCCCCUCAGGGGUGCCGCGGAAACGUGGCUGACGGAAUGUGAAAAUGACCUAAAUAGAUAAAUAAGUUAUGUAAUAUAAUACAUAUUUGUCUAAAUUAAUGCUUAGUCAGUGGAAUCUUUCAUCCACCAUUUACGUUUACAUUUUUCAUCCACUAUUUACACAAUAAAGUAAAUUUAGGUCACCCCAGUAUGGCCUACACAUAGCCUGUCGAAGAUAAAGCUGCAACUUUGAACGUCUCCAAAUGUGUUACUUAUCUAAGUUUGUGUGGUAUCGGAUGCAAUACCAGGUUACGGCUUGUUGGUUUGGGUGCUUUGAGAUUCUUCAUGAAUUGAAAGGGUGCCUCGCCUAAGAAAAGGUUGAGAAACACUGCCUUAUA